AUUGAACGCUGGCGGCCGGCCUAACACAUGCAAGUCGAACGAGUGGCGGACGGGUGAGUAAUGUCUGGUAAACUGCCCGAUGGAGGGGGAUAACUACUGGAAACUGUAGCUAAUACCGCAUACCAUCGGAUGUGCCCAGUUGGGAUUAGCUAGUAGGUGGGGUAACGGCGCACCUAGGCGACGAUCCCUAGCUGGUCUGAGAGGAUGACCAGCCACACUGGAACUGAGAUACGUACCAGACUCCUACGGGAGGCAGCAGUGGGGAAUAUUGCACAAUGGGCGCAAGCCUGAUGCAGCCAUGCCGCGUGUAUGAAGAAGGCCUUCGGGUUGUAAAGUACUUUCAGUGAGGAGGCGUUACUCGCAGAAGAAGCACCGGCUAACUCCGUGCCAGCCGCCGCGGUAAUUC
rnacentral:rRNA from 1 species